rnacentral:rRNA from 1 species
UACGUAGGUGGCAAGCGUUGUCCGGAAUGAUUGGGCGUAAAGCGCGCGCAGGCGGUUUCUUAAGUCUGAUGUGAAAUCUCGCGGCUCAACCGCGAGUGGUCAUUGGAAACUGGGGAACUUGAGUGCAGAAGAGAAGAGCGGAAUUCCACGUGUAGCGGUGAAAUGCGUAGAGAUGUGGAGGAACACCAGUGGCGAAGGCGGCUCUUUGGUCUGUAACUGACGCUGAGGCGCGAAAGCGUGGGGAGCGAAC